AAGAAUGAACACCACCCUGAAAACACCCAAUCUCUUCUGAUCUUGGAAGCUAAGCAGGGUUGAGCUCAGUUAGUUUUCCCCAAAUGAGAGAAACUUGACUGCAUAAUUU
rnacentral:rRNA from 1 species